rnacentral:rRNA from 1 species
CCUACGGGAGGCAGCAGUGAGGAAUAUUGGUCAAUGGCCGAGAGGCUGACCCAGCCAAGUCGCGUGAGGGAAGACGGCCCUACGGGUUGUAAACCUCUUUUGUCGGGGAGCAAAGCGAGUCACGUGUGACUCAUUGAGAGUACCCUAAGAAAAAGCAUCGGCUAACUCCGUGCCAGCAGCCGCGGUAAUACGGGGGCUACGAGGGUUAUCCGGUUUUAUUGGGUUUAACGGGUGCGCAGGCGGAGGUGCAAGUCAGCGGUCAAAUUGCGGGGCUCAACCCCGUACUGCCGUUGAAACUGCAUCCCUUGAGUGCGCGAGAGGUGUGCGGAAUGCGUGGUGUAGCGGUGAAAUGCAUAGAUAUAACGCAGAACUCCGAUUGUGAAGGCAGCAUACCGGCGUGCAACUGACGCUCAUGCACGAAAGCGUGGGUAUCGAACAGGAUUAGAUACCCUUGUAGUC